CCUUUGACGUUAGCGGCGGACGGGUGAGUAACACGUGGGUAACCUACCUAUAAGACUGGGAUAACUUCGGGAAACCGGAGCUAAUACCGGAUAAUAUUUCGAACCGCAUGGUUCGAUAGUGAAAGGUGGUUUUGCUAUCACUUAUAGAUGGACCCGCGCCGUAUUAGCUAGUUGGUAAGGUAACGGCUUACCAAGGCGACGAUACGUAGCCGACCUGAGAGGGUGAUCGGCCACACUGGGACUGAGACACGGCCCAGACUCCUACGGGAGGCAGCAGGC
rnacentral:rRNA from 1 species